UCCUCCUUUAAAGCGCUUCUAUUGGAGUAUUUUUCAUUACAGCAAAUGGAAGAGAAAGGAAGGCAGGAAUGUUACCCAUGAGGGUGUUUGGUCAUAGCAGAAGAAAAGUAACAUUGAAGGGAUAACCAAGAGUCAGAAAUGAUGAUCUGGACCACAGCAGAUCGGACCUUCUCCUGCUCCCUUUGAAGUCAGCUGUCCCUGCAUCCUUGGAUGGGCAUCAUGAGAAGAACAAAGUGCAGGGCUCCAGAAGGCCAGAUCAUGGCAAAUGCAGGCCGAAGCAUGGCAAACAUGGCACCAACAUGUUUUACCCUUUACCCUUCUCUGUACUGCUAGACCAUUAGAUGACAUUCCUAAAGCUAGCCCCCAAGGUCUAUUCCCUUAUUUGGUCACUGACCCAAUCCUGAGACUGAUCAGCAAGUCCAACUAUCAAAAUAUCAAGGUCCGGCAAUCAAAAUUCAU